CAGCACCUCAAGUGGUCAGGAUGAUUAUUGGGCCUAAAGCAUCCGUAGCCUGCUUUGUUAGUUUUCGGUUAAAUCCAUACGCUCAACGUAUGGGCUGCCGGGAAUACUGCAAAGCUAGGGAGUGGGAGAGGUAGACGGUACUCGGUAGGAAGGGGUAAAAUCCUUUGAUCUAUUGAUGACCACCUGUGGCGAAGGCGGUCUACCAGAACAUGUCCGACGGUGAGGGAUGAAAGCUGGGGGAGCAAACCAGAUUAGAUACCCGAGUAGUCC
rnacentral:rRNA from 1 species